rnacentral:rRNA from 1 species
UACACAUGCAGUCGAGCGGAAGGCCCUUCGGGGUACUCGAGCGGCGAACGGGUGAGUAACACGUGAGCAACCUGCCCUAGGCUUUGGGAUAACCCCGGGAAACCGGGGCUAAUACCGAAUAUGACCUGGCCUCGCAUGAGGCUUGGUGGAAAGUUUUUCGGCCUGGGAUGGGCUCGCGGCCUAUCAGCUUGUUGGUGGGGUGAUGGCCUACCAAGGCGACGACGGGUAGCCGGCCUGAGAGGGCGACCGGCCACACUGGGACUGAGACACGGCCCAGACUCCUACGGGAGGCAGCAGUGGGGAAUAUUGCACAAUGGGCGGAAGCCUGAUGCAGCGACGCCGCGUGAGGGAUGACGGCCUUCGGGUUGUAAACCUCUUUCAGCAGGGACGAAGCGUAAGUGACGGUACCUGCAGAAGAAGCGCCGGCCAACUACGUGCCAGCAGCCG